GCUGUAGCUCACUGGUAGAGCAUCUGCUUCACAUGCAGAAGGUCUCAGGUUCAAUCCCCAGCGUCUCCA